rnacentral:lncRNA from 10 species
AAGAGAUAGCCUGACCAGACAGGGCUUCCAUCCAGCAGUGCCCAUGCCUAGAUAUACCUGGCGCACCGCACAACAUCCCAGCCCACACAAGGCCCUGCUACCUCCAUCCAACAUACUGCUAGACUGACCCUACUGAAUCCACAUUCCCACAUAUUACCCUGACUCAUAUCACCUAGAUCAUGACAGACACCAGAUGUGGCCUUGAACCACACCUCUGAACCUCCAAUCUACCAUUCUCUCUUGCCUCCUGACUCCAGGCAGGGGGCUCACAAGUUAGCAGAGCAGGGCCUAACCCAAUUACAUAGCCAUAGACUGCUAUGGGUUGUGUUUCUACAGAAGUCAAAUGUUGAAGUCCUAACUUCCACUAUUUCAGAAUAUGACUGUUUUUGAGAUAGGGCCUUUAAAGAGGUGAUUAAUGCUAAAUGGGAUCACAAGGGUGGUAUCUAAUCCAAUAUAAAUGCUGUCCUUAUAAGAAAAGGAGAUUAGGACACAAACAGAGAAGGACCAGUGAAGACACAGAGAAAAUGGCUGUCUACAAGCAAAGGAGAGAGGCCUCAGAAGGAGCCAACCGUACUGACACCUGGAUCUCAACCAUCUAGCCUCCAGAAUGGAACGUCUAUCCUAUGCCUGCACCACCACUGCAUUUUGGAAGCACAAAACUUGUCUGGUUCCAUGCUUCACAACUGAAGAAGAAUUUUGCCUUGGAAUGACUCAUACUUCACCUCCCUCAUGCUUGACUUAGAUGCGUUCAGAUGAGAUUUUGA